rnacentral:rRNA from 1 species
UACGGAGGGUGCAAGCGUUAUCCGGAUUUACUGGGUUUAAAGGGUGCGUAGGUGGGUAGGAAAGUCAGUGGUGAAAUCUUCGGGCUUAACCCGGAAACUGCCAUUGAUACUAUUUAUCUUGAAUACUUUGGAGGUAAGCGGAAUAUGUCAUGUAGCGGUGAAAUGCUUAGAUAUGACAUAGAACACCAAUUGCGAAGGCAGCUCACUACACGAAUAUUGACACUGAGGCACGAAAGCGUGGGGAGCAAACAGG